AUUUUUCAGAUUGAAGAAAUCUGACGCAUCAGCAGAAAGACAGUGGUGGCGGUGGCUCAGCUUCCUGGUAUUGUGGAUACAGCAUCACCAUGGCAACCGUAGCCUUGAUCAGCUUAUUUUUCUCGUUAACAGGAGACGCAGACAUUUCCCGGGUUUUUGUGGCGACCACUUCACCGGAAGUCGGACCGUCUUGAUCUGUGAUUGUAGCAACAAAAAAAUGAGGAAGUUGGUGUAGGGCUCCGAGUUCGCUCGAGAGAAAUGAAAGCUAAGAGGAAGAGAUUAAGACGAGGUGAAAGAAUGAAGAAGAAGAUUGUUAUCACGUUACCAAAGAAAGAAGAAAAAAAAACCCCAUGAAGAUGAUGUCUGAU